CGUACGGGGAAGGAUGAGAAGCUUCGACCAAGGUUCGAUUCGAGCGCAGCGAGAAAGCGUUGCCGCAGGCAACGACCCGAAGGGCGAAGCGCGCAGCGCUGAGUCAUCCUUCCCCCACCACCA
rnacentral:sRNA from 3 species